AUUGAACGCUGGCGGCAGGCCUAACACAUGCAAGUCGAACGGUAACAGGAAGAAGCUUGCUUCUUUGCUGACGAGUGGCGGACGGGUGAGUAAUGUCUGGGAAACUGCCUGAUGGAGGGGGAUAACUACUGGAAACGGUAGCUAAUACCGCAUAACGUCGCAAGACCAAAGAGGGGGACCUUCGGGCCUCUUGCCAUCGGCUGUGCCCAGAUGGGAUUAGCUAGUAGGUGGGGUAACGGCUCACCUAGGCCACGAUCCCUAGCUGGUCUGAGAGGAUGACCGGCCACACUGGAACUGAGACACGGUCCAGACUCCUACGGGAGGCAGCAGUGGGGAAUAUUGCACAAUGGGCGCAAGCCUGAUGCAGCCAUGCCGCGUGUAUGAAGAAGGCCUUCGGGUUGUAAAGUACUUUCAGCGGGGAGGAAGGGAGUAAAGUUAAUACCUUUGCUCAUUGACGUUACCCGCAGAAGAAGCACCGGCUAACUCCGUG
rnacentral:rRNA from 1 species